GGGUAGGUGGCCGAGCGGCCAAUGGCACCAGACUGUAAAUCUGGCAGACGAUGUCUUACGGGGGUUCGAAUCCCUCCCUACCCA
rnacentral:tRNA from 1 species